GAUGAACGCUGGCGGCGUGCUUAACACAUGCAAGUCGAACGGAAAGGCCCAAGCUUGCUUGGGUACUCGAGUGGCGAACGGGUGAGUAACACGUGGGUGAUCUGCCCUGCACUUCGGGAUAAGCCUGGGAAACUGGGUCUAAUACCGGAUAGGACCACUUCUUGGAUGUUGUGGUGGAAAGUUUUGUCGGUGUGGGAUGAGCUCGCGGCCUAUCAGCUUGUUGGUGGGGUAAUGGCCUACCAAGGCGUCGACGGGUAGCCGGCCUGAGAGGGUGUACGGCCACAUUGGGACUGAGAUACGGCCCAGACUCCUACGGGAGGCAGCAGUGGGGAAUAUUGCACAAUGGGCGCAAGCCUGAUGCAGCGACGCCGCGUGGGGGAUGACGGCCUUCGGGUUGUAAACUCCUUUCGCUAGGGACGAAGCGUUUUGUGACGGUACCUGGAGAAGAAGCACCGGCUAACUACGUG
rnacentral:rRNA from 1 species